rnacentral:misc_RNA from 1 species
UCUCCGUUGGUGAACCAGCGGAGGGAUCAUUACUGGAAUCGCAAGAUCCCACAACCCUGUGAACCUACCGAAACGUUGCCUCGGCGGGGGCCUGGCCCCCGCGCCGGGCGCUGCGCCCGCCGGCGGCCCCCUACUCUGUCUCUGCAGCGUGGCAUCUCAGAGUCCCAGAAAACAAGUCAAAACUUUCAACAACGGAUCUCUUGGCUCUA